GACGAACGCUGGCGGCGUGCUUAACACAUGCAAGUCGAACGAAGUGGCGAACGGGGGAGUAAUACGUGGGUAAACUGCCCUCCUUUUUGGGAUAAGCCUUGGAAACGGGGUCUAAUACCGACUAAAGGAGGAUGGGCUAGCGGCCUAUCAGCUUGUUGGUGGGGUGAUGGCCUACCAAGGCGUUGACGGGUAGCCGGCCUGAGAGGGUGACCGGCCACAUUGGGACUGAGAUACGGUCCAGACUCCUACGGGAGGCAGCAGUGGGGGAUAUUGCACAAUGGGCGAAAGCCUGAUGCAGCGACGCCGCGUGUAUGAAGAAGGCCUUCGGGUUGUAAAGUACUUUCAGCGGGGAGGCGUUACCCGCAGAAGAAGCACCGGCUAACUCCGUGCCAGCAGCCGCGGUAAUAC
rnacentral:rRNA from 1 species